AGAGAGAGACAUGCGCGCAUAUCAAUAAGCGGAGGAAAAGAAACUAACAAGGAUUCCCUUAGUAACGGCGAGUGAAGCGGGAAGAGCUCAAAUUUGAAAUCUUCAAGGUUUUACCUUGACGAAUUGUAGUUUAAAGAAGUGUUUUCUGCUGAAGUUUUGGUAAAAGUUCUUGGAAUAGGACAUCAUAGAGGGUGAGAAUCCCGUAUUUGACCAUUAUUUUCAGCUUUGUGAUACACUUUCAAAGAGUCGGAUUGUUUGGGAAUGCAGUCCAAAAUGGGUGGUAAAUUUCAUCUAAAGCUAAAUAUUGGCGAGAGACCGAUAGCGAACAAGUACCGUGAGGGAAAGAUGAAAAGAACUUUGAAAAGAGAGUUAAACAGUACGUGAAAUUGUCAAAAGGGAAGCGUUUGACACCAGUGUUGUUUUCUCGAAAAUCAAUUAAAAAUGGCUCGAUUUUGUAUUGUUGAGACCUUAAAAGCUCACUGUACAUUUUUCGUGUCUUUUUUAAUGCACUUUUCGUUUAACAAGUCAACAUCAGUUUCUUUUGUUGUAAAAGGGUCAUUGGAAGGUGGCUUUCUUUUCGGAGAAAGUGUUUAUAGCCUUUGGCCUCUGCCAAUCGGAGAGACUGAGGUCUGCAGCGUAGACUCUUCGGGGUUAGAUACAUUUGUGCUAAGUUAUAGCUUUUUAUAGACAACUUGUUGACUAUAAUUAGUCUUGUAGCUUACUCGCUUAUGCUAUUUUACCUACGCUUAGGAUGUUGAAGAUGUAGCACAUCAU
rnacentral:rRNA from 1 species